rnacentral:rRNA from 1 species
CCUACGGAGAGCUGCAGUGGGGAAUAUUGCACAAUGGGGGAAACCCUGAUGCAGCAACGCCGCGUGAAGGAAGACGGUUUUCGGAUUGUAAACUUCUGUCAUUAGUGAAGAAUGAUGACGGUAGCUAAGGACCAAGCCACGGCUAAAUACGAGCCAGCAGCAGCGGUAAUCAGUAGGUGGCAAGCGUUGUCCGGAAUUACUGGGUGUAAAGGAAGCGCAGGCGGGAAGCCAAGUCAGCUGUGAAAACUACGGGCUUAACUUGUAGACUGCAGUUGAAACUGGUUUUCUUGAGUGAAGUAGAGGUUGGCGGAAGUCCGGGUGUAGCGGUGAAAUGCGUAGAUAUUCGGAGGAACACCGGUGGCGAAGGCGGCCAACUGGGCUUUAACUGACGCUGAGGCUCGAAAGUGUGGGGAGCAAACAGGAUUAGAUACCCUAGUAGUC